AUAUUUGCAAAUUAUGCACCUAACAAAGGGCUAAUAUCCAGAAUCUAUAAGGAAUGCAAACAACUCAACAAGAAAAACCUAACCCCGUCAAAAAGUGGGUCAAGGAAAUGAACAGACACUUCUCAAA